rnacentral:rRNA from 1 species
ACGGGUGAGUAACGCGUGGGAAUCUACCGUGCCCUGCGGAAUAGCUCCGGGAAACUGGAAUUAAUACCGCAUACGCCCUACGGGGGAAAGAUUUAUCGGGGUAUGAUGAGCCCGCGUUGGAUUAGCUAGUUGGUGGGGUAAAGGCCUACCAAGGCGACGAUCCAUAGCUGGUCUGAGAGGAUGAUCAGCCACAUUGGGACUGAGACACGGCCCAAACUCCUACGGGAGGCAGCAGUGGGGAAUAUUGGACAAUGGGCGCAAGCCUGAUCCAGCCAUGCCGCGUGAGUGAUGAAGGCCUUAGGGUUGUAAAGCUCUUUCACCGGAGAAGAUAAUGACGGUAUCCGGAGAAGAAGCCCCGGCUAACUUCGUGCCAGCAGCCGCGGUAAUACGAAGGGGGCUAGCGUUGUUCGGAAUUACUGGGCGUAAAGCGCACGUAGGCGGAUAUUUAAGUCAGGGGUGAAAUCCCAGAGCUCAACUCUGGAACUGCCUUUGAUACUGGGUAUCUUGAGUAUGGAAGGGGUAAGUGGAAUUCCGAGUGUAGAGGUGAAAUUCGUAGA